UACGUAGGGUGCAAGCGUUGUCCGGAAUUAUUGGGCGUAAAGAGCUCGUAGGCGGUUUGUCGCGUCGAAUGUGAAAGCCCGGGGCUUAACCCCGGGUCUGCAUUCGAUACGGGCUAGCUAGAGUGUGGUAGGGGAGAUCGGAAUUCCUGGUGUAGCGGUGAAAUGCGCAGAUAUCAGGAGGAACACCGGUGGCGAAGGCGGAUCUCUGGGCCAUUACUGACGCUGAGGAGCGAAAGUGUGGGGAGCAAACAGG
rnacentral:rRNA from 1 species